rnacentral:RNase_P_RNA from 2 species
UGAAGAUAACCAGCGGCAGUUAUGUUUUCAUAACUGAGGAAAGUCCGUACUUGCACGAACUGGAAUGUUCGUAGUUUCAGUGCUAGGCUAAAUAAGUCUAGGCGGUCAGUUUUUUUGACUUUCUGAUCGACGGCUGGUUGAAAACCUAAGUGCUUUUUUGGCAUAUGGUCUAAACCUAUAAAAGUGCUAUAGUGACGAUUAGGAGGGAAACCUCCGAAGUGAGACGUCGUAAACCCCGCUCGCAAGCAAUCCAAAUUUUAAUUGGUAGGUGCACCAAAGGAGGAGAAAAAUAAUCCGAGUUUGGUAGUUCAGAGUUUUCUGAAUUAAGAUAGAUCGUUGGUUUUAACAGAAUACGGCUUAUUUCU